AGCAGCCGCGGUAAUUCCAGCUCCAAUAGCGUAUAUUAAAGUUGUUGCAGUUAAAAAGCUCGUAGUUGAAUUUCGGAAUCAAUAUAUCGGUCGUGCCUCUGGUACGCACUUAUUUAUUGAUUUCUCACUUUUGACGAAUCAUAAUGUCAUUAGUUUGGUGUUAUGAGGAAUCAGGACUGUUACUUUGAAAAAUUAGGGUGUUUAAAGCAGGCUCGCGCUUGAAUACAUUAGCAUGGAAUAAUGAAAUAGGAUGUUUGAUCUUAUUUUGUUGGUUUCUAGGAUCGACAUAACGAUUAAUAGGGAUAGUUGGGGGCAUUAGUAUUCAAUUGUCAGAGGUGAAAUUCUUGGAUUUAUUGAAGACUAACUACUGCGAAAGCAUUUGCCAAGGAUGUUUUCAUUAAUCAAGAACGAAAGUUAGGGGAUCGAAGACGAUCAGAUACCGUCGUAGUC
rnacentral:rRNA from 1 species